rnacentral:rRNA from 1 species
AGAACUUAGCAGACAUGCUUUUGNAUGCUUCGGGAACUGUGAGACNNGGUGCUGUAUGGCUGUCGUCAGCUCGUGUUGUGAAAUGUUGGGUUAAGUCCCGCAAGAGCGCAACCUUUUUNCUUUNGUUGCCAGCGGUUAGGCCGGGAACUCAAAGGAGACUGCCAGUGAUAAACUGGAGGAAGGUGGGGAUGACGUCAAGUCAUCAUGGCCCUUACGACCAGGGCUACACACGUGCUACAAUGGCAUAUACAAAGAGAAGCGACCUCGCGAGAGCAAGCGGACCUCAUAAAGUAUGUCGUAGUCCGGAUUGGAGUCUGCAACUCGACUCCAUGAAGUCGGAAUCGCUAGUAAUCGUAGAUCAGAAUGCUACGGUGAAUACGUUCCCGGGGUCUUGUA